UACGUAGGGUGCGAGCGUUGUCCGGAUUUAUUGGGCGUAAAGAGCUCGUAGGCGGUCUGUCGCGUCGGCUGUGAAAACUCGGGGCUCAACUCCGAGCUUGCAGUCGAUACGGGCAGGCUAGAGUUCGGCAGGGGAGACUGGAAUUCCUGGUGUAGCGGUGAAAUGCGCAGAUAUCAGGAGGAACACCGGUGGCGAAGGCGGGUCUCUGGGCCGAUACUGACGCUGAGACGCGAAAGCGUGGGGAGCAAACAGG
rnacentral:rRNA from 1 species